rnacentral:rRNA from 1 species
AUUGAACGCUGGCGGCAGGCCUAACACAUGCAAGUCGGACGGUAGCACAGAGGAGCUUGCUCCUCGGGUGACGAGUGGCGGACGGGUGAGUAAUGUCUGGGGAUCUGCCCGAUAGAGGGGGAUAACCACUGGAGACGGUGGCUAAUACCGCAUAACGUCGCAAGACCAAAGAGGGGGACCUUCGGGCCUCUCACUAUCGGAUGAACCCAGAUGGGAUUAGCUAGUAGGCGGGGUAACGGCCCACCUAGGCGACGAUCCCUAGCUGGUCUGAGAGGAUGACCAGCCAUACUGGAACUGAGACACGGUCCAGACUCCUACGGGAGGCAGCAGUGGGGAAUAUUGCACAAUGGGCGCAAGCCUGAUGCAGCCAUGCCGCGUGUAUGAAGAAGGCCUUCGGGUUGUAAAGUACUUUCAGCGGGGAGGAAGGCGAUGUGGUUAAUAACCGCGUCGAUCGACGUUACCCGCAGAAGAAGCACCGGCUAACUCCGUGCCAGCAGCCGCGGUAA